CUGUACCACCCUACCACCCCGACGAUACAGGUUCCCUUCUGAAAUCAGAAAUUAAGCAGGGUCAGGCCUGGCUAGUACUUGGAUGGGAGACCACCACAGCAUCCCAGGGAUCUUCAGG
rnacentral:rRNA from 1 species